UUAUGUUUCAUUAUUCAUUAUUCAUUUCUUAUUUGUCCAUCCGUCGUCCUCCCUUUCUCUCUCUACCCCCACUCCUAAUCGCAGAUCACUUUCUCUCUCUACCCCUACUCCUCUCUCUCUAUAUCUUACUUCUCGUCUACUACUCUUUCUCUCUCACACUAGUUAAACCUUGUGUAUUGGGAAUGAUAAUGGUGUUGGAUCCGUAGAAAUGAAUCAGAGUUUGAAGGAAUCUCUGAUCGGAGGGAGGUCGCAUCACCGGCGAGGUCUCACUCUCAACGAAAUCUCCAAGGAUACGGACGAGAAAUCGGAUCUCUUCUCUAGGUAUCGCCGGAGUCUCUUCGUUGCUUCGUCCGACGAAUCGGACGGUACGAUUCCUCUUCAUAUGUACCGCGUUUCAGUGAAAUUGGGGAGACUUUCAGUUGGGUCAGCGAAACCGUCGAGGAAUGGGAUAGAUGAUCUAUUGUCAUCAACUGACAAAGGAAAGCACGACUAGGAUUGGUCUCUACAUCCAUGAAGGACCUGUGUCAUGAAGUUUUUGGGAUACAAAAGGAAAAGAAAGAUCCAAGAGAUAUGAAAGGGAACUGAGAAUUGCUAGAUGCAUUGCCUGAGAAAAGAACAUUAGAGGAUGGUGGUUAUUUGUGUGAUGAUGCAAAAGAGAUCUGUCUUCUAUAAAUACCCUUCAUUUCAUCCUCAUAUCCCAAAACUACCAGAAGGUGUGAUUAUGCCGAGGAAGGAACAGGUGCGAAUUUGGGUCGGGCAAAAUUUCGCUUCAACAUAUAAAUAUAAGAUGACCCCAUCUGGCAUGUCUCCGGCAGAUUUUGACCGUAACAGUGCAUAAGUUGAAAAUAAAUGACUAUAGUGCCCUUAUACACAUGAAAGGACAAAAAUACCCUUAGUUGUUAAGGUUACAACCAAACAAGUAACAAAAAGGUCAUAAUGAGAUAGCCAAACACCCCUAAGCGGUACGACUUCUGGAACCUAACACGAGCACCACGCCCACAGAACUUCUUGGGUUCGCAGCUUCUGGGGUCAGCCACUAGGAGGAAUUGUUCGCCGGAGAAGAAACAAUUGUAGAUGAUGGCAAACGCUUCCUCGCUGAAGAAGCGUUCAACUGAUUGCGGUGUCUAUACAUAUUUGCAGACAAGGGUAGAGAGAGAAAGAGGAGCAAGGACGAUACCGAAGUUCCUGAGAGAGAGAAUGGACAGUGCUGAUCGAGUGGAGAGGCGAGAACUGCCAGGAUUGAAUCAGAUGGGCUUUUGUGGGGCCACGUGGGGUUUCAGAUUAUAGUCCAUCAACAUCAGGGACGAGGAGGAGAACAAGGAAGGCCCACCACAUCAACAAAGAGAAGAAGGAGUCGAGAUUAUAGAUGUGGAGUCGAGAUUAUAGCAACAACCGGCGUUCGUUCCUCUCCUCUUCAUAACGACGGCGAAUUUGCCCAAAUCAGCCUCCGCUCCUUCUCGGUGCUUGACCGCAGCAGAGAGUUGAUGUUAAGGCAGAAGGCGUGAAGAAGAUCACGGUCGAAGCUUGAAGUCUGAAGCGCAGUCGCCAAAGAAGAGGGGGCGCGUGUGCACGUGAAAACAUGUUUGAUCUAUUCGCAGGAGCGCGUGACGCCCUUAGAGUCUGGAAAUACUGGUGAACUUGGCGAUCUGGCCAAGCCACUCCUCCUCUCUAUUCGUUCUGGUGCUGCAGUGGUGUGGAUAGGGAAAAAUUAGCGGUGGUGGUGGUGUGGAGAGGGAAGUGGCACUGUUAGAGAGGGAUGUUGUAUGCGACAGUAAGUGAUUAGUUUCUAGUGGUGCGGCUCGAAGUUCAGUCCGGCAGUGAUGGUUGUCUGUGGUGUUCAGUCUGGCGGCGAUGGUUGUUUGUGGUGUACGUUGCAGCAGAGCUGUAACGUAAAUGGGUACAACCUAUUAAAAAUUUUAUCAUUUUUGUUAUUUAUUUUUUUUAUUUUUGGUUGACUUUGUGUCUCAUUUUUAUUGGCUUCUAAAUUAUUUAGUUGCCAUGUCACCAAGUAUGUCACCAAGUAUAAUGGGUAACUCUUCAAACUAUGUAUUAAUUAAGGGUAAAUUUGUCUUUUCAUUUUUCCGACCAAGUUACUUGCCGGAAUGGACUGAAAUGUAACAAAUCAAUAGUUCCGAAUUUUUUUUGUAGUUCAAGGAAAUUUGUUACAAUAU